UACGGAGGGAGCUAGCGUUGUUCGGAAUUACUGGGCGUAAAGCGCACGUAGGCGGCUUUGUAAGUUAGAGGUGAAAGCCCGGGGCUCAACUCCGGAAUUGCCUUUAAGACUGCAUCGCUAGAAUUGUGGAGAGGUAAGUGGAAUUCCGAGUGUAGAGGUGAAAUUCGUAGAUAUUCGGAAGAACACCAGUGGCGAAGGCGGCUCACUGGACUGGUAUUGACGCUGAGGUGCGAAAGCGUGGGGAGCAAACAGG
rnacentral:rRNA from 1 species